GGUCCUGUGACCGAGCGGCCAGGUACUCGACUGCAACUCGAGCGACUCGGGUUCGAAUCCCGACGGGACCU
rnacentral:tRNA from 2 species